rnacentral:rRNA from 1 species
UACGUAGGGUGCGAGCGUUAAUCGGAAUUACUGGGCGUAAAGCGUGCGCAGGCGGUUUUGUCAGCCAGAUGUGAAAUCCCCGGGCUUAACCUGGGAAUGGCAUUUGGGACUGCAAGGCUCGAGUGCGGCAGAGGAGACUGGAAUUCCUGGUGUAGCAGUGAAAUGCGUAGAUAUCAGGAGGAACACCGAUGGCGAAGGCAGGUCUCUGGGCUGACACUGACGCUCAUGCACGAAAGCGUGGGGAGCAAACAGG